GAUGAACGCUGGCGGCGUGCCUAAUACAUGCAAGUCGAACGCAGUGGGGACGGGUGAGUAACACGUGGGUAACCUCCCAUCAGAGGGGAUAACACUUGGAAACAGGUGCUAAACCGAUACUGAUGGAUGGACCCGCUGUGCAUUAGCUAGUGGGUGGGGUAACGGCUCACCAAGGCCACGAUGCAUAGCCGACCUGAGAGGGUGAUCGGCCAUACUGGGACUGAGACACGGCCCAGACUCCUACGGGAGGCAGCAGUAGGGAAUAUUCGGCAAUGGACGAAAGUCUGACGGAGCAACGCCGCGUGAAUGAAGAAGGUUUUCGGGUCGUAAAGCACUGUUGUUGGAGAGGCGGUAUCUAACCAGGAAGCAACGGCUAACUACGUGCCAGCAGCCGCGGUAAUUC
rnacentral:rRNA from 1 species